rnacentral:rRNA from 1 species
UACGUAGGGUGCGAGCGUUAAUCGGAAUUACUGGGCGUAAAGCGUGCGCAGGCGGUUAUUUAAGUCAGGUGUGAAAGCCCUGGGCUUAAACCUAGGAAUUGCGCUUGAGACUGGAUAGCUUGGAGUGCGGCAGAGGGAGGUGGAAUUCCACGUGUAGCAGUGAAAUGCGUAGAGAUGUGGAGGAACACCGAUGGCGGAAGGCAGGUCUCUGGGCCGAUACUGACGCUGAGGAGCGAAAGCGUGGGGAGCGAACAGG